ACGACUCUCGGCAACGGAUAUCUCGGCUCUCGCAUCGAUGAAGAACGUAGCGAAAUGCGAUACCUGGUGUGAAUUGCAGACUCCCGCGAACCAUCGAGUCUUUGAACGCAAGUUGCGCCCGAGGCCACUCGGCCGAGGGCACGCCUGCCUGGGCGUCACGC
rnacentral:rRNA from 1 species